GACAAUCCUCCCCUGGUGCAAUGCAGGGUUAAGGGCCUAACGGCUGUGCGGAUCUCCCCCGCGCCGAAGCCGCGGAUAGUUAAGCUUAACUUUCCUUAACUUUUCCCAUUCAUUCUCAACGGAAGUUCUUAUCACUUCGGAUGCGAUAUAUUCUUGGCCGCACGUUGAUAUCGCGGCGCUGUUCCGAGAAAAACGAACGACGUCCUUACAGUGCGGAUUCCUUAACUUUUCCCAUUCAUUUUCAACGGAAGUUCUUAUCACUUCGGAUGCGAUAUAUUCUUGGCCGCACGUUGAUAUUGCGUCGCUGUUCCGAGAAAAACGAAUGACGUCCUUACAGUGCGGAUUCCUUAACUAUUCGAAAUCGCCUGGCGCGAAUCAUUUCCCUGGGCUCCUUUUGGUGAUCAGCAUGUGGAGGCAUGUAUAUUUUCUCCCAGGUAGGCUGCAGAUAUACUUCCGAAGAGGUCUGUGAAGUCCUUGGCAAAAUCGGAACAAUACCAGUACUUCAGGAGACCCAGCCUUCACCUUCCCUCCUGCCCUGGCUAUUCCAACUGCCCCAGUCCCAAGCCCAGUCUCCUUUAAUACCUAUGCAUAUCCACCAUGCUAAUAUUGUUACAAACAACAAUAUAGUUAUUCAUUGAUAUUUUUGUUGCUGUUGUUGUGUUUAUAUGUUCAUAAGAAUUGUAAUAUGCAAUGCCCUCCGUAAUGCUUGGGACAAAAACAUUAAUUUAGCUCAGUACACCACAAUUUUAUAUUCAUAAACAAACAAUUCAAAGUGCAAGUUCUCAUAUUUUAUUAAAGGGUAUUUUUAUGCAUUCUGGUUUCACCAUGUAGACAUGACAGCACUUUUUAUACAUAAUCCCCCAUUUCAGGGCACCAUAAUGUUUGGGACAUAUUUAUGUGAUGUAAAUUACAGUCAUGUUUACUGCAUAUUUUCUGUAUGCAUGACUGGUUGAAGUCUGUGACCCACUGAGACAUGACUGUGGUCUUCUGUGGACAGUAGUCUCUGACACAUCCACGCCUGCCUCCCGAAGGGUGUUUCUGAUCGGUUGGACACAUGUUUGGGGAUUUUUCUUCAUUAUGAUGAGAAUUCUUCAGCUAUCAGCUGUAGAGGUCUUACUUGGCUUGCCAUGCCCUAUGCCCCAUUACAUGUUCUCUCUCCUUAAUGCUGUUCCAAACAGUUGAUUUUGUUACACCUAAGGUUUGGCAUAACAAAACAGACGUCUCAUAAUGGCUUCCUUGACAUUCAUUGGAACAACUCUGGCCCUCAUGUUUAAUGACAAUAAUACAAACCAAAGGCAAGAAAAAGCCUAGAAAAAUAUUAUGUUUAUUGUUACUAUAUAUAAAACACACUUUAAUUUCAAUAUGGUGAAACCAAAGUCUGUAAACAUGCCCUUCAUGCAUUUUUUAUUACAAAUCUAAAAUUGUGGAGAACAGAGCCAAAAAAAAAAAAGUAUUUGUCCUAAACAUUACAGAUGGCACUGUAUAUAACAUUGUAAUCUUUUUUUGUGUAUGUAAUAAAUUGCAAUAAUUGAUCUAAUGUCAGUAGUGAUGUAAUGUCAGUUCUACAUCUAAGUAGGUGUACAGGUGUUCCUAAUAAAGUUCUCAGUGAGUGGAUAUUUUGGCAAUUGUCUGUAUCUGUGUGCAUGGAUAGUAGACAAGUUGUAAAUAUUGUUCUCCUUCAGUUGCCAUAAAAACUUUUACCCAACAUCCAA